rnacentral:rRNA from 1 species
AAAGACUUGACGGUGCUUCACAACAGCCUAGAGGAGCCUGUCUAAUAACCGAUACCCCACGAUUAACCCAACCUACCCUAGCCCUAUCAGUCUAUAUACCGCCGUCGCCAGCUUACCUUGUGAAAGAAAUAAAGUAAACUUAAUAGAUCCCCCUCUAACACGACAGGUCGAGGUGUAACAAAUGGGCAGGUAAAAGAUGGGCUACAUUUUCCUACAAAGAAAAUACGAAUAAACUAUGAAACUAUAAACUGAAGGCGGAUUUAGCAGUAUGUUAAGAACAAAACACCUAACUGAAACUAAUGCAAUGAAGUGCGUACACACCGCCCGUCAUCCCUG